rnacentral:rRNA from 1 species
UACAGAGGUCCCAAGCGUUGUUCGGAUUCAUUGGGCGUAAAGGGUGCGUAGGUGGCGUGGUAAGUCUGGUGUGAAAUCCCGGGGCUCAACCCCGGAACUGCACUGGAUACUGCCAUGCUUGAGUACUGGAGAGGAGAUUGGAAUUUACGGUGUAGCAGUGAAAUGCGUAGAUAUCGUAAGGAAGACCAGUGGCGAAGGCGAAUCUCUGGACAGUUACUGACACUGAGGCACGAAGGCCAGGGGAGCAAACGGGG